rnacentral:rRNA from 1 species
UACAGAGGUCUCAAGCGUUGUUCGGAUUCAUUGGGCGUAAAGGGUGCGUAGGUGGCGCCAUAAGUCAGGUGUGAAAUCUCGGGGCUCAACUCCGAAACUGCACUUGAUACUGUGGUGCUCGAGUACUGGAGAGGAGAUUGGAAUUUACGGUGUAGCAGUGAAAUGCGUAGAUAUCGUAAGGAAGACCAGUGGCGAAGGCGAAUCUCUGGACAGUUACUGACACUGAGGCGCGAAGGCCAGGGGAGCAAACGGG